UUAGAAUGAUGAUACUUUAACUAGUCAGUUCUGCUACUGAAAUUUUGUUGAGGACUUUCCACACGUUCUGAGUU